rnacentral:tRNA from 1 species
GCCCGCGUAGCUCAGUCGGCAGAGCGCAUCCUUGGUAAGGAUGAGGUCGCCGGUUCAAGUCCGGCUAUGGGCUCCA